GGGUCUGUCAGGUCUCUCAUAAUGCUUUAAACACUUCAAUAGUAGGUAUAGAACAAUACUUACCCCAUCGAUCUCAUCGCAGUGGUUAAGAGAAGGAUGGCAAGUAUGUUAUCGCUGUGUUAAUAUUCCAGUCUCAAACUGUAAUAAAACUAGUUUACUUUUGCAUUCUUCGUGCACACCUGAAAUCCGCACUGAUUAAGGGAUUUACAAAUACUAAGCGGCUGCGAGGCGAAGAGGUUAAUUGCUUUGUAAGCGGCUUGAUGAAAAAAUGUGUAGCAAACCACGCGGCAGCCAACGCUGAUGCUGAUGCUGACUCAACUUAAUUGGCGCACGAGGCGCAUACUUAAUGCGCUUAGAUGCGGGACAGGCUCACUGCCGCCUUGGCUUGCCUCACUGCCAUUGCAAAAGCCGCUUUUGUCCCACUAAUUAGAUCCAACGGGAAACCGUUGAAUGCUCACUGCAUUCUCUGGUAUCUUCCAAAAAAUUAAAAUUGAUCCGAGCUAAAGACAAAAUUCCAGUUUAAUGCGUUUUAUAAGCAAAUUGACUGUGAAAAUAAGUAGCAUUUAUUGUUUGAUUGUGAUUUGAAUU